rnacentral:rRNA from 1 species
UACAGAGGUGCCGAGCGUUAGGCGGAAUCACUGGGCUUAAAGCGUGUGUAGGCGGAUGCCUAAGUACCUUGUGAAAUCCCACAGCUCAACUGUGGAACUGCUUGGUAUACUGGGUGUCUUGAGCCACUUAUGGGUUACCGGAACAAAUGGUGGAGCGGUGAAAUGCGUAUAUAUCAUUUGGAACGCCAAUGGUGAAAACAACUCGCUGGGGAAGUGCUGACGCUGAGACACGAAAGCCAGGGGAGCGAACGGG